UAUGUAUGUGUGUGUGUCUGUGUGUGGUAGAGCGAGUGAGAGAGUGACGGCAAUUAGCUUCAGAGUGAGUGGUGGCUCUAGAGUCAUAGUGAGAGAA